AUCGAACGCUGGCGGCAUGCCUUACACAGGCAAGUCGAACGGCAGCACGGGUGCUUGCACCUGGUGGCGAGUGGCGAACGGGUGAGUAAUACAUCGGAACGUACCUUAUCGUGGGGGAUAACGCAGCGAAAGCUGUGCUAAUACCGCAUACGCCCUGAGGGGGACAGCGGGGGAUCGAAAGACCUCGCGCGAUUAGAGCGGCCGAUGCCUGAUUAGCUUGUUGGUGGGGUAAAGGCCCACCAAGGAGACGAUCAGUAGCUAGUCUGAGAGGACGAGCAGCCACACUGGGACUGAGACACGGCCCCGUCUCCUACGGGAGGCAGCUGUUGUGAAUUUUUGACUAUGGGGGCAACCCUGAUCCAGCAAUGCCGCGUGAGUGAAGAAGGCCUUCGGGUUGUAAAGCUCUUUUGUCAGGGAAGAAACACCGGCUCUAACACAGUCCGGGAAUGACGGUACCUGAAGAAUAAGCACCGGCGAACUACGUGCCAGCCGCCGCCGUAA
rnacentral:rRNA from 1 species